rnacentral:rRNA from 1 species
UUGGUGGUAAACUCCAUCUAAGGCUAAAUAUGACCACGAGACCGAUAGCGAACAAGUACCGUGAGGGAAAGUGGAAAAGAACUUUGAAGAGAGAGUUCAAGAGUACGUGAAACCGUUCAGGGGUAAACCUGAGAAACCCAAAAGAUCGAAUGGGGAGACUCACCGUCAGCGGCGUUGGCUUCCGUGCGGCUCGCGAUGUCCGGGACUUCGGUUCCGUGGCACGCGGUCGCUGCGGUAUGUCCGGCGUCGUCGUCGUGCACUUCUCCCCUAGUAGGACGUCGCGACCCGUUGGGUGUCGGCCUACGGACCGGUUGGUCGACUGUCGCGUCUCGUUUACGCGUGUACGCGGCAGACCACCGGAUUCCCGGCCGGCUGCCCGGCGGUAUAGAUCGCUAUAAAAUGGUAUUGAGCCGCAUUAAGUGCGUUCAGGCUCGUCGGCAGGCUCGACUCGCUCGGAUUUACGGACCUAGCGCCGUUGCCGGGUGCUUGGCGUGGCCGUUAGUCGACGAUGUCCUCGGACUGGCUCUUAUAUUCGAACGGAUAUACCGGUCGGCGACGCUACUGCUUUGGGUAC